ACACCAAUACCCUCUUAGCCUUACUACAAUUUACUUAGACCUACUAUGAAUUUAUGCAAAUAAGCUGGAGAUUUCAUGACUCCAAUGCUUCCUAGCUUCAAAUCGAACCACAAAGGAGACUGAAAGUAAGGAGUUCAUUUCACUCGUAUAUAGAACAAGGCCUUGAAUUCUGUUUGGUCCUGGAUUUCUGAGCUGACUGUAACGGAGGGAUUUAAAGGCUAAAUCAUGGCUUUUGAUGCUUCAAGAGGAGGAGGUGAAGGCAAGCCAAUAAAUUAUGAGGGUUUUUUAUUUUUCUUCCUGUUCCUGUUGAUCUGCUUUCAACCAAAACGAGAGAGAUGAGCCUUUUUGAGUU
rnacentral:lncRNA from 1 species